AGAAAAAUGAAUUUCUUCCACUUCUUAAAAGAUUUCACUGUCCUGAAGAAAAUAAUGAGAGAAGACCAUGAGAUGGUACUACGAUGAAGAUCAGGCUGACGAAGUACCAUUUUCAAUUGGAGCAUUAUUUGAUCGGCUCUAAGAGCUUGAUAGAGCUAUCCAAAGACGAGCCUUAGUUAAAGAGCAACGUCUUUAGGCUGUUAAUUUGGAAUGCUACCAAAAGGAAUAUAUUAAACAGAUCAGCGGCGUACCAAAAAUGGAAUUCUGAAAUUUUUAUUGUACAACCCAAACUUCUUGAAUAAAACUGCAUAAAAUGUGUUUAUUAUA
rnacentral:sRNA from 1 species